GCCAUCCACACCGGUCUUCCAAGCAAAGGACAAGCUACACCGCCAGUCUAUUGCGGAAAGGAGAGAGAAAAUCGACCUUACAAAAUGAUCGUAUACUUAACAUCAACCCUUCUGAAGAACGGGGAUAUUCAACCAAACCCUGGGCCUCAGCUGAGUGCUUACACUGACGGGCAACUUUCCCCGGCUGUGUCUCCAACUUCGGUUGUGCCUGCAGCGGCUGGCAUGGGUGAUGGAUGUAUGACCUUUGGGAGAAGACGCAAACAAACGCGAGGAAUUUAAGUUGUUUCGUGGACUGCUAUGGCGGAAUCAUCAUUCCUCCCAAGGAACGACCACGUGACAAAAAGCUUCCCUCUCAACGCGCACCGAUGCCCCAUCCAUUUGGGCCCAUGAUCGCAACAGGAACUUCAACGGGGGUCGCAAGCGGAGGUCUCGUUCGUUGUCGGGGCACUGGCGGAGGACGGGGUCAGAUCGGGUCUACUGCCGGACAUGGUGGCACAUGCCAUCAUGACCUGCUAACUCCCGUUGACAACGGCACUGGGAUUACAGAUAGGUUUCCACCUGUCGGCCUAUCCAGUCUAUCCAGCGUCAAUGCGCCGGCGGUGAACGGUGGUAGUGAAUCUACCCCAAAUGCGGAAAAAGUGCUGUUGGACAAUAGCAAAAAUGGACCAAGAUCAUCGCACGCUGUCAAUGAAUCCUCCUUGACAGAUAGACAAUUCAUGGACACGGUCUUCGCAAAAACAGGACAACAUAUCUUCACCUCAACGUAAGAAGUCUUUUCAACAAACUUGAUGAAAUCAGGCUACUUUUCUGCAAAAGUAAGAUCGCAGUGUUGGGUUUUUCUGAAGCAUGGCUAGAUAGCUCCAUAAGAUAUUCUGAGAUAGAAAUAGAAAACUACUUCCUCACAAAAUCUCCUUUAUGAAUUUCAAUCUGGUUUUAGAAAGUCGCACUCCACUGAUACUUGUCUGCUUUAUUUGACGGAUCACAUCAAGAAAGAAGUGGAUGAAGGAAAAUAUUGUGGUAUGGUUAUGUUAGAUCUUCAAAAAGCUUUUGACACAGUUAACCACACUAUUCUGUUAGCUAAACUCAGGGCAUUGGGUUUCAACAAUACAUCACUUCAGUGGGUUCAGUCCUAUUUGGAAGGCAGAGAACAAGUAGUGGAUGCAAAUGGGAUUGUAUCAAACCCACUCCCACUGUCAUGUGGUGUCCCCCAAGGAAGCAUCCUAGGGCCUCUAUUUUUUCUGUUUUAUAUCAAUGACAUGGAGUCAGCUUGUACCUGCAACCUCUAUCUUUAUGCAGAUGAUUCAGCCCUCUUAGUCUCUCAUCAUGAUAAAGCUGUGGUGGAGAGUUUACUAAGUUCAGAACUUCAGAAGGUCUGUACAUGGCUGUCUGAAAACAAGCUGUCCCUCCAUUAAGGUAAAACUGAAUCAAUACUCUUUGGAUCAAAUUCAAAUUUGAGGAAGUCACCGGGAUUCAAGGUGGUAGUGGGUGAUUCUGAGAUCACAGCCAAACAAACUGUGACAUACUUAGGUUGCAUUCUGGACAAUACAUUAACUGGGGAGGGUAUGGCUGUGAAGGUUAUUUCCAAAAUAAAUCUGAGAAUACAAUUUCUGCCUAGAAUAUCCCACCUAAUUG
ensembl:lncRNA